AACGUAGGACGCAAGCGUUAUCCGGAGUUACUGGGCGUAAAGCGCGGGCAGGCGGCUCUGCCAGUCUGAUGUGAAAUCUCCCAGCUCAACUGGGAGCAGCCAUUGGAAACUACAGAGCUGGAGUCUAGCAGAGGUAGGCGGAAUUCCGGGUGGAGUGGUGAAAUGCGUAGAGAUCCGGAGGAACACCAGAGGCGAAGGCGGCCUACUGGGCUAGUACUGACGCUGAGCCGCGAAAGCCAGGGGAGCGAACGGG
rnacentral:rRNA from 1 species